CCUACGGGAGGCAGCAGUGGGGAAUAUUGCACAAUGGGGGGAACCCUGAUGCAGCGAUGCCGCGUGGAGGAAGAAGGUUUUCGGAUUGUAAACUCCUUUUAUCAGGGACGAUAAGGACGGUACCUGAAGAAAAAGCUCCGGCUAACUACGUGCCAGCAGCCGCGGUAAUACGUAGGGAGCGAGCGUUGUCCGGAAGUACUGGGUGUAAAGGGAGUGUAGGCGGGACGGCAAGUCAGAUGUGAAAACUGAGGGCUCAACCUUCAGACUGCAUUUGAAACUGCUGUUCUUGAGUGAAGUAGAGGUAGGCGGAAUUCCGGGUGUAGCGGUGAAAUGCGUAGAUAUUAGGAGGAACAUCGGUGGCGAAGGCGGCUUACUGGGCUUGUACUGACGCUGAGGCUCGAAAGCGUGGGGAGCGAACAGGAGUAGAUACCCGAGUAGUC
rnacentral:rRNA from 1 species